AUUGAACGCUGGCGGCAUGCCUUACACAUGCAAGUCGAACGGUAACAGGUCUUCGGAUGCUGACGAGUGGCGAACGGGUGAGUAAUACGUCGGAACGUGCCUAGUAGUGGGGGAUAACUACUCGAAGGAGUGGCUAAUACCGCAUGAGAUCUACGGAUGAAAGCAGGGGAUCGCAAGACCUUGUGCUACUAGAGCGGCCGAUGGCAGAUUUGGUAGUUGGUGGGAUAAAAGCUUACCAAGCCGACGAUCUGUAGCUGGUCUGAGAGGACGAUCAGCCACACUGGGACUGAGAAACGGCCCAGACUCCUACGGGAGGCAGCAGUGGGGAAUUUUGGACAAUGGGCGCAAGCCUGAUCCAGCAAUGCCGCGUGCAGGAUGAAGGCCUUCGGGUUGUAAACUGCUUUUGUACGGAACGAAAAGCCCUGGGUUAAUACCCUGGGGUCAUGACGGUACCGUAAGAAUAAGCACCGGCUAACUACGUGCCAGCAGCCGCCGUAAAAC
rnacentral:rRNA from 1 species